AGGAACAGGCAGGGCUUCUAUAAAGCCAGGGAACUGCUAACAAAAAGGGACUGCUGAAUUUACAGUCAUUCCCUGGAGGAACGAGUUGAAAAGCUGGUGACCACAGAGAGGGGAGGAGAGCUAGAAGGUAGAAGCUAAACAUGCUGUUGGUGAAUUUGAUGUUGAUGAUGCUAGAGACUGGCAGAUGCCAAGAUCUGUAUGGCUCUACCACGCCAUCUCAUUCCCAAGCAGGAACAUCCUGUACUCCCCAAUCUGAUCAUCUAAGCAGACAGUGCCAGUUAGAUGAUGAUACUGAAGAAACCCCUCCUAUGACUUAAAUCUGGGUAUUUAUCUUGGUUCAAACAGGGCUGGUAACAAGUGCACCUGAUCCACGUUCAAAUUUCUCCACAGUUCAGCUGAGCUGGGUUUUUGGUAUAGUCAGUUCCAGCAAGAAGGUCCAGCCUCCAUGGGCCAUUCUAGGAGUUCUGGAGAAACUCCUACAAGCUGCCGAGUGCCAGUAAAUCUCAUUAACCUCGCUGGUAGUUAAUCAACACAUUGCAGGAUCAGGCAUGAAAUUGGGGGUGGGAGGUGGAGGCUGGAUUCUUAUCAACUCGUGUGACUGAAUUACAAGCCUUGUGAUUUGUUCCAUUUUUCUGGAAAUCCCAGACUUCCUGGAGACAGUUUAUUAUCUGAAUCUCAAUUUUCCUUUUUUACAGUAAGUUUCUAGCCUGUAUGGUGGCAGAAGAGAGCCUGGAACAAGAAACAAGUGUAGCCAGAAGGCAACUCAAAACCCCCACAAAUAUUAAACUCGUGGUUUUUGUUUUUUCAGGCAGCCUCCUGAUUUUUUGAGUGGCCCAGCUUGUGGAUUUUUGAUCACUGGGGCUUGGCAAUAAGGAGUAUCAUGGAAACCCAUUCUCUAACCUCCCAUUCCUCUCAUGCUGCACCAAGUACCUUUCAGUCUUAAUCUCCAGCGUUCUGUUUAGCCUUCCUUGCAUCUGAAUCUCAAGCAGCUCUUUAAAAAAGAGACACAUUUCAUACGUCCUGAUUAAAAAGACCCUGUCUAAAAAUACAAAAUCCCAGCCAAGGAAAGCUUUUUUUUUAUAUCUACACAGAGGGAAAAUGAGCUGCAGUGGAAUUAUUUAUACUUUAUCCUACCUCCAGAGAAGACUUUAGAACGUGAGAUAAGGCAGCAUGCUUCAGAGUCCAGAGCCCCCUCUCCUCUGUGCUUGUACCAGCUCCCUAUCCUGUCAUGCUGGCAAGAAGAAAUAUGCAGUCAUCCUUGCUGCAUAUUCUGGCAGGGUUAUUGUCAACUUAUUAUUUUUUGACACUAAGCCAAAAAUGAAGGGCAUUUGCAUCUUGCAAUUUUGCUAUUUGCUUGUCUCACUUCUGUUGCGCUAAAUGACCUACAAGGAGUCAGUAGCAGGCAGGAGAAUAUAGGAACCAGAGAGAGAGUGAAGCAGGAAAGCUCAUAUUUUACCCCCAAAAUGCCACUGCUCUUUUUGGGGUAGGGAGGGGAAGAAACCAUUAAAAUAACACAUGCCUGUUUCAUUUGUAGAUUUCUCCUGACGGUGGAAGGACUUGUGUCAUGGGGAAAUCGCCACCACUGCUUUGGGUUUUGCUAAAAACCAUUACAUAAUUAAAGUCACUAUUGUGGGUGAAAGUGUGAAGUCUGCUUUUGGACCAAUGCUGGCCAGGGUCUGAUUUAUAAUGGUGCAUUGAUAGCCAUCUGGAUAUAUGGUUUUUACCUUAUUUCAUAUCUCAGCAACAACAUAUUAUGCAUCAUAAAGGCUGAGUGUUUUCUUUUCAUUACAAGUCAGCAGCACUUACAUGGAUGUAAUAAUGAGGCUGUACAAUUAUAAGUGAUUAGAAAUGGCAUAGAAUGAUCCUUUAUAUAUUAUUACAAUACUGGAAUCCUAGUGAAAUACCAAACAACCCCACCAAAAGCAAUAGCUACUUUAAAACAUUUUGGGUAUAAUUGUUCCAUACAUUUUAAACAACUCAGAACAUAUGGUGACUUCAAGGUGUCAGUUCCAGCAUUAAAUGAAAGACUCUAUGGUGCAAUAUGCAGUCAUGGGUGCAAUAUUUGGUGCAUUACACUCCCAUGAGGAUGCAUUUACCCUGCUUAUGAAAUGGUUAAUUUUAAAAGGUUGGAAGAGUCAUAAUGCAGCCAUCAGCCUGAAGCCAAAUGUACAUAGAAUGCAGCCAGCAACUCAGAGCAUUGAAGCGCAAGCUGCUGAAAUCAAAUAAAUCUGAUAUUGUUAACUAUAUUACGAGAUUCUCAACACCCACCUGGAGUUCAUUUACAUGUGUGUAUUACAUAGCUGCAUGCCAGUAUAAUCCUAUUUGUGCCAAUUGUGAUGCUA